GAUGAACGCUGGCGGCGUGCCUAAUACAUGCAAGUCGAGCGAACAGACGAGGAGCUUGCUCCUCUGACGUUAGCGGCGGACGGGUGAGUAACACGUGGAUAACCUCCCUCUAAGACUGGGAUAACUUCGGGAAACCGGAGCUAAUACCGGAUAAUAUAUUGAACCGCAUGGUUCAAUAGUGAAAGACGGUUUUGCUGUCACUUAUAGAUGGAUCCGCGCCGCAUUAGCUAGUUGGUAAGGUAACGGCUUACCAAGGCAACGAUGCGUAGCCGACCUGAGAGGGUGAUCGGCCACACUGGAACUGAGACACGGUCCAGACUCCUACGGGAGGCAGCAGUAGGGAAUCUUCCGCAAUGGGCGAAAGCCUGACGGAGCAACGCCGCGUGAGUGAUGAAGGUCUUCGGAUCGUAAAACUCUGUUAUUAGGGAAGAACAAAUGUGUAAGUAACUAUGCACGUCUUGACGGUACCUAAUCAGAAAGCCACGGCUAACUACGUG
rnacentral:rRNA from 1 species